rnacentral:tRNA from 1 species
GCAGUCGUGGCCGAGUGGUUAAGGUGAUGGACUAGAAAUCCAUUGGGGUCUCCCCGCAACAGGUUCGAAUCCGGUCGACUGCG